rnacentral:rRNA from 1 species
AGUGAACGCUGGCGGUAGGCCUAACACAUGCAAGUCGAACGGCAGCACAGUAAGAGCUUGCUCUUACGGGUGGCGAGUGGCGGACGGGUAAGGAAUACAUCGGAAUCUACUUUUUCGUGGGGGAUAACGUAGGGAAACUUACGCUAAUACCGCAUACGACCUACGGGUGAAAGCAGGGGAUCUUCGGACCUUGCGCGAUUGAAUGAGCCGAUGUCGGAUUAGCUAGUUGGCGGGGUAAAGGCCCACAAAGGCGACGAUCCGUAGCUGGUCUGAGAGGAUGAUCAGCCACACUGGAACUGAGACACGGUCCAGACUCCUACGGGAGGCAGCAGUGGGGAAUAUUGGACAAUGGGCGCAAGCCUGAUCCAGCCAUACCGCGUGGGUGAAGAAGGCCUUCGGGUUGUAAAGCCCUUUUGUUGGGAAAGAAAAGCAGCAGGUUAAUACCCCGCUGUUCUGACGGUACCCAAAGAAUAAGCACCGGCUAACUUCGUG